rnacentral:tRNA from 1 species
CAACGAAAACAAUGGGGAGCAGCUGACUCUUAAUCAGCGGGUCCUAGGUUCGAGCCCUAGUGCGUCCACCA